CACGCUGGAGUCUUGCACCGCUGACGAGUGGCGAACGGGUGAGUAAUGCGUCGGAAUGUACCGUGUAAUGGGGGAUAGCUCGGCGAAAGCCGGAUUAAUACCGCAUACGCCCUGAGGGGGAAAGCGGGGGAUCGAAAGACCUCGCGUUAUACGAGCAGCCGACGUCUGAUUAGCUAGUUGGUGAGGUAAGAGCUCACCAAGGCGACGAUCAGUAGCGGGUCUGAGAGGAUGAUCCGCCACACUGGGACUGAGACACGGCCCAGACUCCUACGGGAGGCAGCAGUGGGGAAUUUUGGACAAUGGGGGCAACCCUGAUCCAGCCAUGCCGCGUGUCUGAAGAAGGCCUUCGGGUUGUAAAGGACUUUUGUCAGGGAGGAAAUCCCGCUGGUUAAUACCCGGCGGGGAUGACAGUACCUGAAGAAUAAGCACCGGCUAACUACGUGCCAGCAGCCGCGGUAAUACGUAGGGUGCGAGCGUUAAUCGGAAUUACUGGGCGUAAAGCGUGCGCAGGCGGUUGUGCAAGUCUGAUGUGAAAAGCCCCGGGCUUAACCCU
rnacentral:rRNA from 1 species